CAAAUUGUGCUACUACUAGUGUCGAUGCUCCUACUAGUGCCGGUCUGAGUUUAUAGUCCCACAUUUGUUGUUGUAAAAGCUUCUCGUCUCUAGAGAAGCAAUAUAAGAAAAUCCUCAGCAAGCUCGCUUUCGACAAGCAGCAUUACUACAUUUUGGAAAGAAAGUUGUGAAUCGGUCUGUAUCAGAGAAAUGUCGCAGAGAAGUACUUUUCAAGUUAGAGGCAUUGACCAGGUGGAGAAACAGAGAGCAGAGAUCCAGAGUCUCAAGGAUACUCCCGGAAUCACAGGAAUUGUUAUCAAUAUUCAGUCGCGGACUGUAACGCUUGAGCAUGAUCCAGACGUUACAGUCGCCAUGAUAGAAAAGGCUCUGAAAGAUCUACGCUUGAAUCCAUCUCUCACCAGUACAGCCGUAUAUGUUUGAUGUAACAGCUAUGGGAGGAAUCUUUGAUGAGCGUGUGACAGCAGUUGAAGGAUUUUUGUUAGGUGGUUGAUAUACUAUAAAUAUGAAAUGGGGCAGCUUCCUCCGCUGCCUUUUACUUGUUAUAAUCUUUCCAUUUUUUAUUGUAAAGUUACAGAUUAGAUUUUCUGAAACACGCUUAAACCAGUAAUAAAAGUGAUAUUUUUUGGGAUAAAUAAUAUUGGAAGAGGAAUAUCUCGGUUCGUACAAUUCUAAAAUGGACCCCAAAUGAUGGCCCAAUGCCCAUUCAAUUGAAAAGUUUCCUUUUCAAGGUUGGAGAAUAUUCUCUCGUGGAUAUCUAGGUUCGUAACUGAAUCAGUGACAGUGACAUCACAAAUAGGACAGACUAAAAGGAUCAAUCUUCUAACACAGGCUAUGUCAAAUCCACUAU